rnacentral:rRNA from 1 species
GGCUCAGGAUGAACGCUAGCUACAGGCUUAACACAUGCAAGUCGAGGGCAGCGCAGUGUAGCAAUACAGUGGGCGGCGACCGGCGCACGGGUGCGUAACGCGUAUCCAACCUUCCCGUUACUCUCGGAUAGCCUUCCGAAAGGGAGAUUAAUACGAGAUGGUGUUGAAAUUCCGCAUGUUAUUUCAACUAAAGAUUCAUCGGUAACGGAUAGGGAUGCGUGACAUUAGAUAGUUGGCGGGGUAACGGCCCACCAAGUCAACGAUGUCUAGGGGUUCUGAGAGGAAGGUCCCCCACACUGGAACUGAGACACGGUCCAGACUCCUACGGGAGGCAGCAGUGAGGAAUAUUGGUCAAUGGGCGCAGGCCUGAACCAGUCAAGUAGCGUGAAGGAUGAAGGUUCUAUGGAUUGUAAACUUCUUUUAUACGGGAAUAACAUCACCUACGUGUAGGUGCCUGCAUGUACCGUAUGAAUAAGCAUCGGCUAACUCCGUG